CAUUAUCUUAUCCUCUCCAUGUCUGCCAUCAUUCCAUUCUCUGUCACUGUGAUACCCAUUAUCUUAUCCUAUCCAUGUCUGCCAUCACUCCAUUCUCUGUCACUGUGAUACCCAUUAUCUUAUCCUAUCCAUGUCUGCCAUCACUCCAUUCUCUGUCACUGUGAUACCCAUUAUCUUAUCCUAUCCAUGUCCGCCAUCACUCCAUUCUCUGUCACUGUGAUACCCAUUAUCUUAUCCUAUCCAUGUCUGCCAUCACUCCAUUCUCUGUCACUGUGAUACCCAUUAUCUUAUCCUCUCCAUGUCCGCCAUCACUCCAUUCUCUGUCACUGUGAUACCCAUUAUCUUAUCCUCUCCAUGUCCGCCAUCACUCCAUUCUCUGUCACUGUGAUACCCAUUAUCUUAUCCUCUCCAUGUCUGCCAUCAUUCCAUUCUGUCACUGUGAUACCCAUUAUCUUAUCCUCUCCAUGUCCGCCAUCACUCCAUUCUCUGUCACUGUGAUACCCAUUAUCUUAUCCUAUCC